rnacentral:rRNA from 1 species
AUUGAACGCUGGCGGCAGGCCUAACACAUGCAAGUCGAGCGGAUGAAGGGAGUUUGCUCCUGGAUUCAGCGGCGGACGGGUGAGUAAUGCCUAGGAAUCUGCCUGGUAGUGGGGGAUAACGUCCGGAAACGGGCGCUAAUACCGCAUACGUCCUGAGGGAGAAAGUGGGGGAUCUUCGGACCUCACGCUAUCAGAUGAGCCUAGGUCGGAUUAGCUAGUUGGUGGGGUAAAGGCCUACCAAGGCGACGAUCCGUAACUGGUCUGAGAGGAUGAUCAGUCACACUGGAACUGAGACACGGUCCAGACUCCUACGGGAGGCAGCAGUGGGGAAUAUUGGACAAUGGGCGAAAGCCUGAUCCAGCCAUGCCGCGUGUGUGAAGAAGGUCUUCGGAUUGUAAAGCACUUUAAGUUGGGAGGAAGGGCAGUAAGUUAAUACCUUGCUGUUUUGACGCUACCAACAGAAUAAGCACCGGCUAACUUCGUG